GCCUCCCCGGCGCUGGGAGGGCGGGGAGCGGGGGCCGGCACUGGCGGCGCCGUGAGUGAGCCCUUUGUGGAUGAAGCUGCUUUUCGCCGCGAUCUCCGCGCCGGAGCCGGCGGGGCCGCGCCGCCGCCGCUGAGGGGCACCGGCGCCCGGGCAGAGCCGCCGGCAGCAUGCGGCGCCCCCCGCUCUUCCUCCUCCUCCUCCUCCUCCUCCUCCCCGCGGAGCCGCUGCUCUAGAGCCCGGCGCGGCGAUGGGCAGCGCUGCCCGCUGAGCCGCGGCGGGGCUCCUGCGAGGCUGCGGGGAUGUGGCGGCGGGCGGCGGGCGGCGGGCGGAGCGGGGCCAACCCCGCCGGGCCCGGCGGAGCGCCCGGCACCGCGCCCCCCCGCAGCCCUCCGCCGUCGGGCGGCCGAACGGGCCUGGCCGGGGCCGUCGUGCUGCUGGGGGUGAUCGUCGCCCUCCUGCCCAGCGCCCGGGCCGAGCCGGUUAUUGGGCAACAGCAUAUCAACGUUGCUGCUUCUAUGGGAUCUUUUCCUAAUUGGAGAUCUAUACUAUCACCAACACGGCCUUCCACAGAAACUAAGACUUCCUCAGUAGCUGAUAUUUCUAUGGGACAGACUUUGGAGAACGCAAACUUGCUUCAGAUGAUAAAAACAACACUGACUGGCACGCGUACCAGAACUUCGGAUCAAACUCAUCUGUCGCCCACCCUUUAUCAAGGCAGUGGAAACAGUGCGCCCCAGGAACCCGCUGAGGUUUCAGCUGAGUCGCCUCUGAGGUCAUCACCUCAAGACACAGAUGAAACAGCUGCUGUAUCAGGUUUGCCUCAACUUGUGUUAUCUGGAGUAUCUUCUGGUGCAAUACCUACAGUAGGAACUUCAGAAGCAAAACCACUAACAAGAAAAUCAUCUCCAGCUUCACCAGUGCCAGCUUCUUCCUUCUUUUCUCUAGGCACUGAAAACACACCUUUGCCAUCUGUGAUGGCUUUAAGCACACCGAUACUGACACUAACAAAAAAUAACACUGCCACAAAAUUGACCUCGGACCUAGGCUCAGUAGAAACACAUACAGAUUUUCCUUUUGCAACAAGAAACACAAAUGCAUCACCUGUGGACGUGACAGCUAUGCUCGUAACCCCUAAGAGCAGCACGGUCACAGCUGCCCCACUCGCACCCACAGCACACGUACCCAGGCAGAUAGAAACCACAGUAACAGACACCCAGAAGUUCCCAAGCUCAGAAAUCACCAAAACGGCAACCCCGUAUCCACUGACAAUUACAGCAGCUUUGACAUCUAUUACAGCAUCAGCGAAAACAACUAGGCUUCCCCCUACUCCAGUGGAAAACAUCUCUGCUCCUCCCGAAACCACGGCAGCAGCCGCUUUCGCUAACAUGACAGCAGCUCCUCCCCUGGAUUGCCGGCUCUCCAGGAACCUUAUGGUUAAAACAGUUCUGUUGCUGAACACAAGGAGGAUGCUGAUCAGCAAUGCCUUCAAGGAGGGUGUGAGAAAAGGACUCAACCAAGUGCUGAGACAAGCUUUCAACCAAAAUGUCAGCGCUCAGGUUGAAAUUCUGGAGCAGUCAAAUAAUGUAACGGUUGGUUACUACGUUACACGGGGCAGGCUGGUUUUUAUGCCAGCUGCUGUAAUUGAAAGGCUUCUUGCGUAUGGCAUCAGCAACGCCACAGCGGACAUAAAGCAGCAUGUCCCACAUCUCCAGUCUGUGGCGGCCCUGGCCUUGCCGUGGAAGCCCCUUCCCGCGUACCACUUCCAGCUGAAAACAGAGCUGCAGUUUGUGGGUCAGACAGACAACAUACAGUCAUGCAAAUUUGUUCAGACCAUGGAGCAACGGUUACAGAGAGCGUUUCAGGAUGCUGAAAGAAAGGUCUUAAACACCAGCAACAACUUAACAGUUCAGAUUUUGAACACCUCCAAUGUCUCCCAAGCUGUCACUCUGUUUUAUGUAGUGAACAAUCAAAGCACAACUCUAAAUGGCACUAUUUCCAGCAACCUUCUUAAUCAGCUGUCAGCUGAGCUGGUGGGUUUCUAUCUAACCUACCCGCCUCUCACCAUUGCAGAAUCUUUGGAGUAUCCAAACCUUGAUGUCUCAGAGUCAACUAGAGACUACUGGGUGAUAACAGUUAUUCAAGGGGUUGAUAUUGCAUUACUGGGACUGAACAAUCAGAGCUUCGCAAGAUUAAUGGAGCAGCGUUUGGCCCCGCUGUUUAUGAUGUCCCAUCAGCAAGGAAGACGAUUCAAACGUGCCACUACUGUGGGCAGCUACACUGUGCAGAUGGUAAAAAUCCAACGUAUUCCAGGACCCAAGGAGCCGGCUGAACUGACGUACUAUACUUUAUACAACGGGAAACCUUUGCUGGGCACUGCAGCUGCCAAAAUUUUGAGUACUGUUGACUCCCAGCGGAUGGCCUUGACACUGGGUUAUGUUAUUCAAGUUCAAGCUGAUCCUGUGGUGAAGAACCCCCCGAACAACCUGUGGAUCAUUGCAGCGGUGCUGGCUCCCAUCGCUGUGGUUACGGUGAUCAUCAUCAUCAUCACAGCGGUUCUGUGCAGAAAGAACAAGAACGACUUCAAACCAGACACCAUGAUGAACCUGCCUCAGAGAGCUAAACCAGUACAAGGCUUUGACUAUGCCAAGCAACACUUAGGUCAGCAGGGAGCUGAAGAUGAGGUUUUACCUGUAACUCAGGAGACUGUCGUACUUCCACUUCCAGUUAGAGAUGCUCCUGCCUCCCAGGAGAGAGAAAUUACUCAGGAUGGGAGCACCAUCAAAACUGCCAAAUCCAAUGAAACCAGGAAAAGCCGGUCCCCGAGUCAGAACGGCUCCAUCAUCAGCAACGGGUCGGGAAAGCCCAGCUCCGGCCGGAGCUCGCUCCAGAAAGUAAUGGCACCGCAAAAAGUGACAAAAGACGAAGGAAGGAAAAGAAACGUGCCCGUAAGUGAUGAAGAGGAAGGAGGCAUUCUCUUUGAUAACAUCGCCAAAUCUGCCAUCGACCCCUUCGACACCUCUUCUGGAUCGGUACAGCUGAUAGCUAUCAAACCCGUGGCACUGCCUGCUGUUCAUGCUCCAUCAGACAGGAGCCAGGAAUCUGCCAUCAUUAACGGAGAGGUGAACAAGGCUUUGAAGCAGAAGUCCGAUAUAGAACAUUACCGCAACAAGCUGCGCUUGAAAGCCAAGAGGAAGGGGUACUAUGAUUUCCCACAGGUUGAUAGCAACAAGGGUCUGACAGAGAGAAAAAGGAUGUAUGAAAAAAACCAGAAAGAAUUUGACCACAUUUUGGAUCCAGAUGCAGAUGUCUCGUCUCCAUUUGCUGAGCCUAAGAACAGGCAACCGAUGAAGAACUCUGUAUACAGAAGCAGGCAGUCUUUGAACAGUCCUAGCCCAGGAGAAACUGAGAUGGAUCUUCUUGUGACUCGGGAAAGACCUAGACGUGGAAUCCGUAACAGUGGAUAUGACACUGAGCCCGAAAUUAUAGAAGAAACAAAUGUUGACCGUGUCAACGAGCCUCGGAAUUACACCAGGUCCCGUCAGGCCAAAGGCCACUCGGAGACCUCAACUUUAAGUUCUCAGCCCUCCAUUGAUGAGGUUCGACAGCAGAUGCAUAUGCUCUUGGAAGAGGCUUUCAGCCUGGCCUCUGCGGGCCACGGAGGACAGAGCAGGCAGGAGGCGUACAGCUCAGCACCACACUUGCCCUACUCGGAGGUUGUGACCAGUGCUCCUGGUACCAUGACCCGACCUAGAGGGGGGGUACAGUGGGUACCCACAUACAGACCAGAAAUGUAUCAGUACAGUUUACCGAGACCAGCUUACAGAUUUUCUCAGCUUCCUGAGAUGGUAAUGGGUUCUCCUCCUCCCCCAGUCCCUCCCAGAACAGGUCCUGUGGCUGUUGCCUCUCUCAGGAGGUCUACAUCAGAUAUUGGCAGCAAAGUGAGAAUACCUGAGUCCAGUGGGGCAGAUCAGGCCCAGCAUCAUGAUCAGGCGGCUUUUGCACCUGGUUCAAGAGCUCCGAUGUCUGUUGGUCCACUUGAUCAAUCAGCUUUUCACUCAGGAAAUACCGUACCAGCAGUGUUUGCCAUACCAGCAGCAAACAGACCUGGCUUCACAGGCUAUUUUAUCCCAACACCACCCACCGCAUACAGGAACCAAGCCUGGAUGCCCUAUGCUGGAGAGAAUGAAUUACCAGGGCAGUGGGCAGACUCAGUACCACUACCUGGAUACAUCGAGGCAUAUCCGAGGCCGCGCUACCAGCAUAAUUCUCCUUCGCGACUUCCUCGCCAAUACAGCCAGCAGGCGAGCAUGCAUCCCAGCCUGGAACAAGCUCCUCUGCCGUCCACCGCAGCUUCUCAGCAGAGCCUGACAGAAAACGACCCAUCUGACGCUCCUCUCACCAACAUUUCUACAGCUGCCCUCGUAAAGGCAAUAAGAGAAGAAGUUGCUAAACUGGCCAAGAAGCAAACAGAUAUGUUUGAGUUCCAGGUCUAAUAUCUUUUGUGCACAGUACUUGUAUCGUGCAACCUGGGGUAGCAAAGGAAGCGACUCCUUUAAUUUUCAGUUACAAACUUGCUGUGAAUCGUGCCACAGUGAUGGCAUUUUUCUCUGUCUGAAAAGUCAACGUUAUGAAAUGACUUAAAGUAGAGCCACAGGACUCUGAAGAUACAUAAUUCUGCUUGCCAGCUAAGGAAAUGCUGCCGGGUAACUGUUUAAUAUGGAUAAGGUUGAUCAUACGCAACUGUUUGUCACUUAGCUCUCGUGCUAUGACCCAUCAUCACUAGAGAUGCUGCUGGACGUGUCUGCGCCACACGAUGUUUCAUUUGCAGGCCCAAAGGUAGAGCUGCUGAAAAUAACUUCUGCAUGUCAAAACUUUGAUUAAAGAAGAAAAUACAGUAGAAUACGGUUAGCUAAAGGCCACGGGAGGUGUGGCGGUGGCCAUGUUAAUUGUUUGCUGCAGGGCAUUGUAUAAGGGAUGUUGAUUUCAGCAAUGCAGAGUCAUUCAGCCUUUUCAUUCUAGAGACCGUAUUCAAACCAAAAGAAUUCAAGAUGAGUAAGUAAUACAAAUAAAUGUCCUGUAAAUAGCCCUGAUUCUCCUCAUCCUAUUAACAGUACAAAGAAGUGAAAGAAGAGAAGACUGUGAAGAAGGUUAAUGAUAUUUUGAUAAUCGGUGGCUACCUUGUCCCUGAAUGCCACUGAUGAGUUAUGGAGGAGGUUUUUUUUCAGCAUGAGAGAAUAUAAUGCACGAAGAGCCAACAGAGGAUAUUGGUGCUAGAAGCUUCCAGGAGAAAUGAAAAAAGGUUAUUCGCAUUUGCUCUAUGUUCAGGCUUUUCACUCUGAAUGCAUGUGAAGCUGGUAAACUUGAGACCUUUCAGCAAGUCUUUCCAGCCUGGAAUAAUGAAUAUACCUGCUUGGACAAGAAAACCUCUGUUUAACACAGUGCUUUUUUCUCUUUCUUAAACAAUGAUAUCUACGAAAGUGAUGCCAGAAAGUGCUACUUGAAGCUGCAGUUGAUUUUGAUUACACUGGAACAGUGAAUGCACACCCAGGAAGUUCUGAAUGUAGAGGACCUGAUUAUUAUAUUAACCUGUAAAUAAGUAAACUGUUAGAUGAAUUAACAAAAAUACUAAUGUUUUGUGAAAAAGAGAACGUUUCCAGAAAUUAUGCUGACUUUAUAUUGUGCAAGAUAAAGGUGACUAAUUGUUAAACUGCAUUGUCGUAUGAUUCCAAUCCCAAAAGAAAAUCAAACCAGUUGAAUGGGACAGUAGUUCAUCUUUUGCAGUGGUACAAAACAGUUGGAGAUCAUGAAAAAUUGUUUUCAGUUCCUUUGGCAAUUAGCUUUGGGAACCGAAGUUGUUGCAAAAUUUGUUGUGUGGGGCAUGUUUGAUGUCGACUGGAAUUAAAGACUAACUUCGAAAAGGUGAGACAUGGAGGAAAGAAAAUGUAAGAUAAAAAUGCAAAGCAGGUAGAAAACGCAGCAUAGAAUUGAGUGGCAGAACUGACGUGAGGUCUCUGUCUUGUUUAAGGGAUGACACAUACAAAGCUAACUACUGGUUUUAUUGUAUUUCAAGAUGUUUGACUGUAAAGAAUGAAUAACAUUUUAAUGCACAUUUUUAGUCCUGCAUUGUGAAUCGCCGGUAGCCCAUGUAAAAGUCUAGGGAGCUUGAAAGCAGCAAGUCUUUCUGAGCUAGCAGGAGAAGUCACUUUGUUUUGCUGACCUUGUUCAUCCUGUAUACAUCUGAGCAGCUCCGAGAACUGUGUCCAAGGACGCUGUAAAUCAGUUACGGUCCUGAACUUGCAUCUCUUGCACAUAAACCAAUCUCAGUGGCUUCCCUUGCCUCGUUGACAUGAAAUGGGAUAGGGAGAGAACAAGUGUGAGAGAAUAUGAAGGAUAUUAACAGGUCAGGACCGCCUUAACUGUCUGGAAGCCGUGGAUCUCGAGCUGCAGGUUAACUCAUACCUAUUAGAAAAUGGUUGUGUUUGGCAGCUUCCUCAGCAAGGUGCGUUCCUUUCAUUGUCAAUGACCAAAAUGUAUGAAUCAAGACCUGGUCCUGUCACAGGAGAGUGUAUCAGUUCAUACUUCCACUCCUUUCUGUAAGCCACACGCAUUCUCUGCAUAGCUCCACAUGACAGUGGCAUAAUUAACGUGAGUCGUUUCCAUUUACUCAGAGUAAUCUCUUGUCAUAAAACACCAAGUUGUAGGGCACCUUAUAUAUAUUUUACUACAUCAUUGGGGGGGAAAAAAUAGACGUGAUCAUACAGUAUGUUAGUGUAUUAAUACCAUUAGCCUUUUUUUUUUUUUUUUUUUAAUAAAGGCUUUUUGAAAAAGGGAAAGUGUGGUCUGCUAAGAUCAAGACUGCUUACUAGUCAAAGUGUGCAGGGCAACUGCUCAGUAUGGUGUGGCUGAUGGAGCAGAUCUCUCCUCUCGCCACCUACUGCCCCUACAUGUAAGGGUACAAGCACACAGCUUUUUUCAGUAAGACAGACAUUAAUUAAUAAUAAAUUAUAUGGGGUAAUAUGUAUAUGGGGCAAUAACAUCUACAUAGUUCUCUGUGACCAUUCCAGAUGCAUUACUGGUCUGCUAAGCGAUUUUUUCAAAGCAGCGUGUGUUCAAAGAGAAAAGAAUCCGCUCAAGCUUGUUUACUAUAAUGUUAUUUAGACAUAGCACUGUAGACUUUGUAACAGUGCUAUAUGGAGUCAGAAUGCCAAGUGGUAAAUUACACUUUCUCUGCUGGACUUUCUUUUCAUGGGUUAAUUUUUUGGCCAUGACUCUAGGACUGAAUAAGAUUAUUUACGGUUUUUGCUUAUCAAAAUAUUUCAAAGUUCUAUUUUUCCAUUUUAAAGUGUAGGCAUGCAAAAUGAGGAUAAGAGUACUCAUUUAGAAUGCUUUUUUUGAACUCUUGCCUUUCUCUUGUAAAUAAAUAAUGUAAAACUCGACUUGGGGAAAUGAGAUUUACAUAGGUCAGUAAAUGAAUUGGGUACUGAUUUGCUCUUUAAAAGAAAGUUUCAAGAUAGCCAUGUCAGAAAGGCAGACUGGUUAAUACUGCAGAAUCUCUACUGAGAAUAACUGCAUCACACAUCCUUCAUCAAAAAUGUUUUGGCGUGCCCAAUGAGUGAAAAGCAAUCAGAAAACUGCACUGGGGGAUUCCUGUUAUCCAGGAACGGGCUGUAUACAAGACACGGGAGAUGGGACAGGGAUUUCAGUGGGGCUCCGGGGUAGGUAGGCUAUCCUAUGUAACAUGUUUGCCCUUUGGGUUGCCCUUGAUACCAACAGACGUAACAACUACAGCCACCAAAGUGGCAUGACAGGAAGGUGGUUUUAGGUCCUGAUUUUUAAAACUAUUGAGAUGACCCAAAAUCAUAUAAUAUUUCAUAUUUCUAAAAUCACCUUGAUACCAUUGAAAAUCCUUAGGCAUUUUUAAUAGGAGGCUGGUAUCAUACUCCUAUAUAUGUACGUAAAAGAUAUUUUUUGAAAACUAGUUCUUUGAUGCACCCAUUUGUCCCCAUCCAUGUCAGGUUCCUCAAGGUGCACAGAAGCAGUAAUGAGGAGUCGGUUCCUAGGGUUUUUCCAACCCUGAUCAUUCGGUGAUUCUGUGAAAGAUGAGAAAUGGGUUUUAAAUAGUUAGGUGGUCUAAUGUAUAGCAGAUGUCUGGAAAAUAAUUACAAAUACCCUGAAGAGAUGUUUCAGGAAUCUGAUUUUUUUGCAUUUGUUAAAAAUAAUUCUUAUUUUAAGAAGUGCCUGACUUUUCAUGAAAUGUCCACGCUCAAUUCACUCCCAAGGAGCAGCUUGAAACUAUAUUAUGUUCUGUAAAUAAUUUUGUAACUUUAUAAAUACAUAUUUACAUACUAGGCAAUAAUGGUCCAAAGGAUUGUAACUUACACAGGAAGUUGAUUCCACUGAGUACAACAUUUAGAGAGGAGGCAAUUUUUCUUCCAAAGUAUGUCCCUCUUCCCUGCAGCUCAGUGCAUUUUUAUGCUUUGUAAUCCAGUGUCUGAACACCAUAACAGACACUGGCAUCAGUUAAACUCUUGUGUAAAAUAUCUGGCGAAGAGCACUGGCUUUUGCAGCUUCCAGUGGGACCUUGUAAAGAGUGCCUGUGUAUAGGAUUAACUUUUUAAACUAUUAAACCAGAAAUUUCUGGGUCCUUAAGUCUGGCUUUUUGCAAGUAAUCGGUGGCUUUUACGUCCUGCAUCACCAGCAAACUUAACCAAUAGAUACUUUGAGACGUGAUGCAGCAGAACACAGCAGCCUGUGCCAGGGAUUCACCAGGACCUAAAAAACGAGGGACUGUAAUAGAAGAAUAGGUGGUAAACCUUUUAUUUCAGCAGUAGAUGGACACUAAGUAAUUAUUAAUUCAUUACUCUGGCAGGUCAAAGAGUCUUGAAGCUUACUGCUUGGAAUCAAUUUCAUGUAUUUGGUUAGCUUUUGAUUUCUUCACGUGUUAAAAGUGUGUGAAAAUAGCAACAUUAACAGUGUAUUCUAUUUCAGAGUUAUAAACAUGGGAGAUUUGAAUGUAAGUAAACUUGAGGUUUAUUCUUUGCCCUUGCCUUUAUCUAGUACUUUCAACACUGCAGAUAGGAAAAAAACCCACUUUACUCUCCAACAAAUUAAUUUUAAUAUUUCUUUCUAUGGGAAAGCUUUUUUCAUUUCAUGUUGGUGUUGGGUUCUUCAAACUGUAUUCAAGGUCAUAUUUGAUAGAAAAAAUGACAGUGAAGCCAAAAAUUUUGGAAAAUAAGAUAGAACCCAUCUUACUGAGGCUGGAGCUUUGGUUUAGGAUUUAGCAACUCAGCAGAAACAGCUCAGACCCAACAAAGGGUCUGUUCUGGGCAGUUCCUUGGGUUUCAUUAGAAAGGACAUGUGUACAGUGCAGUUAUUCCUAUGUUUUUUGACUUUUUAUUUUCAUUUAAUAUCUGUCUUGCCAUAGCUGUGCAUUUUGAAUUUGACUUUUACAUUGGUGUACAGAAAGAGGUGCGCUCUUUUAGCUCGGUAACCAACAUAUGUGAUAUAAUUUUUAUUUAGCUAUGGCACUGCGUGGCUUUGGCCUGUGUUCUGCUUUGUGAUACUUUCAGAUGUCACAUUAGUAUUAAGGUGACGUGAAUAUAGAUAACGUCUUCCAUUGAAGUUAUUGGAAAAACGUCUGCUCACUUCAAGGAGAGCAGGACUGAUCCAGAAUUCUCUCAGUGAAUUAACUAUCACAAGUAUCUUUAAAUUGUGCAAAGAUUGGAAGGAUGCUGUCUACUUACAGGUAGCUGGAAAUUAGAUAAGAGGUUGGUUGUCCCUUUUUCAUAAUUUCGGAUUGGUCCUGAGCAAGGCGCUUAUUCUGACUAUGCCUCAGUGCCUGUGUCCGUAAAGCAGGAUUAAGGGUCCGCCUCUCCUCACACCCCUGGUGAGAAGUUGAACUAAUUGAGAAUGUUAGAAAAACUGAAACCCUGGAGUGGAAGUGGAUACUUUAGUACAAAGCACUAUUUAUUAUUUCAUGGAGCUUUGUAAUUGUUCAAGACGGUAAAUUGCCUGUUCCUCUGGUAGCAUUUAAAUAUACAUAAAUUUACAAGAAAAAAACCCCAAAACCAAACCUCUUGAUGCUAUUUCAGUAUGUUCUAGGAAGCCUUUCCAAUAACAGCUUCUACACUUUUUUACAGAGUUGUUAUAUCAAUAAAUUGUCUCACUUCCCAUGCAACAGAUCUCACUUUCUGAUGAAAUUAACUUUUCUAACGUCUUUGAAUUAUGGAAAGGACUAGCUCUGCAUGAUUACAAAUAUCCAUGUAUCUUUGCUGUUCACAGCUUGACUCAACUAAACUGUAAUGGCCGUGUCUCUGAAAAUUGCUCAAAAUUUGUAAGUGUUUCAGCUGUAAAUGGGAAAAUUAGUUUUCUGAAGCCAGUAAGAGCUGCAAAAUUGAGAGUGAUUUGUAAAGCCAAGUUUAGGGAUUAAACUGAAAGAGGAAGAAAAUAAUCAAAAUUUUAUACUAUGCAAUCAGAAGGGAAAUCUCCAAGAACUGGUUCCUUUUGCAAUUACAAACAUGAAACCAUACCAAUGGUGGAAUUUUACAUAUCACUGAAAAGAAGGCAUUUAAAAUGUUCUGGGUCAUUACAAAUGGCUGUGUUUUUACUCUGAACCAUAGGGUGAUUCUAGAAUGAAGCUUACGAGUACAUAGAAUAGUUUCUUUCUGUUAGUGGCUAUAGCUUAGUUGAAGUUGUACAUGUUUUUCCUUGGCAAUUUUGCACAUUAAAUAAAAUAUGUCUUAAAAUCUA